rnacentral:rRNA from 1 species
AGUGAACGCUGGCGGUAGGCCUAACACAUGCAAGUCGAACGGCAGCACAGUAAGAGCUUGCUCUUACGGGUGGCGAGUGGCGGACGGGUGAGGAAUACAUCGGAAUCUACUUUUUCGUGGGGGAUAACGUAGGGAAACUUACGCUAAUACCGCAUACGACCUACGGGUGAAAGCAGGGGAUAUUCGGACCUUGCGCGAUUGAAUGAGCCGAUGUCGGAUUAGCUAGUUGGCGGGGUAAUGGCCCACCAAGGCGACGAUCCGUAGCUGGUCUGAGAGGAUGAUCGGCCACACUGGAACUGGGACACGGUCCAGACUCCUACGGGAGGCAGCAGUGGGGAAUAUUGGACAAUGGGCGCAAGCCUGAUCCAGCCAUACCGCGUGGGUGAAGAAGGCCUUCGGGUUGUAAAGCCCUUUUGUGGGGAAAGAAAAGCAGCAGGUUAAUACCCCGCUGUUCUGACGGUACCCAAAGAAUAAGCACCGGCUAACUUCGUG